GCGUUCUUCCUCGGCGAGACGCUGAGAUCUUGUAUCCCCAGAUAUUGUGUGGGUUAAUCAAGGAAGAUCCGUGAGGAGGAUCUUACAGCUCCUGUUGCUGAUCUUGAACUCCACCGCCUGGCCUCCCUAGAUACAUCUGAGAGCUGCGAGAGGACGCCGCCGAAGAUGCUGCCACGCGGAGGAGUAGAGGAAGCGCGGAGGGCGACCCGAGGAACGGCGACGCCGGUGAGAAGAAGCACGGGAGGAUUUUGGAGCUACCAAAAUCGUGUUGACGACGGCGGCGGAGGGGAAUCGGCGGAGCGGCCUAUGCGGUGCUGGACGGAAAGCAACGGCAUGCGAGGACGUCGGAGCUGGCCGGCCUCGUGGUGGCAGAAGCGCCACUCAACGGCGCUCGCCGCUGCCGGUUUUUGUCCGGUCUUCCAAACUUCAGGUGUAAGGCAAUAAGUAUUACUGGUUCCGUGUUCUGUUGGUGCUGAUCUGAUUGAUUCACUCUCUAUUUUGCAAGGUGGUGUACUCAGCGACAAAAAGGAAGGAAGACUCAAGGAUGCAUCUUGGUGUUGGAUUUGCUGGACGCAAUAUUGGCCAUGCGAGCUAGCUAGAUAAGGGAACACUAUGCGUGGGGGAGGGCCUGCAAGGAUGUUUGCACGGGUGAGCCUGACGGAGAGGUCAUGCUACAAGAAGUUCUUCCCCGCUCCAUGGAGGAUGUUGUUUAGCACUGUACACCGAAGACGAGAAAGUCGCAUCCUUAGGAUUCUACACCCUUAUGUGUGGCUAUGGUGGGUGAUGCGAAAUUAGUGAAAUCAGAAUGCCACACGAGGGCACCAAAUAAUUAAAAAAUCCAGAUAAAACCAAUUGCAGGUUCUUGCGGAUAUAUGCAGAUUAAGUUUACAAAUAGAUGCUCUCAUGUCAUGUGCAAAUAGAUAUAUGCAUCUUAUAGUUCUGCUGCACAAGAGCAGCUUAUUUUUGACAGGGCAUCUUUCUGAUUUUUUUUAUUCUGUUGUCACAUCUAAAUGGUAUGUUUGGUUGUUUCUGCAAAGUUUCCAGUUAAGCUGAAAUUGCUAUUCUUCUAUACUGAGUAUUCUUUCCUCAUCUCAUUGCAGAUGUACAUGCAUGGUUAUGUGAAAAUAGGAAAUACUAAAUUGAUUUUAGGGCCCUGAUUUAUUGAUUGGUUUGUAUAGUAUGUACGUGUUUACUUUACUCCAUUGUUCAUCCCAAGUUCCCAACUUCUAUGCUCUGGAUAUUUCUAAUCUUGACUACAUGCACUUGAAACUAUACUUUUCAUGUUGGCCUGGAAGUGCAUAGUUCUUCCUUUCUAUUUUAGAUAUCUGAAAAGUAAAUAUAUAACUGGUCAAAUAAUUCUAUAUACAAAAUAGUUUAGUUUACUGUUGAGUGUGUCACCUCUGUGAUGCAUGGAUCUUCAUGUGUGCCAGUGUGUGUUAUUCACAACGCCAUGUUUGUUUAGAAGGUUUGAUUUUAAAACAACAUAAAAUUUAUGAUGCCCAUUGACUUAUUGGUUGUAGUACGAUCUAUACUGAAUCAAAUUUUUGCAGAUUAGCCCUACAUAGUUUCCAUGUUUAAGUUCGACUGCAUUUAAUUUUAUGACUGUUGAGGUAAUUGCAGGUAGCCUCGGUGUUACAUCUCAAGUUACGGUGCAGCAGAACCCUUGACAAACAAAGAAAGCAGCCAGUUCACCGAAUCUGACCACUAACUUCUCCACUAAUGGAAAAUAAAUCGUCAUCCUAACAAUUUCAAAAAAAAAAUCGUCAUCCUAACACCUAAGUAGGAGUACAAGGCAACACACCCUUCAAAGAAUAGCUACUUAGUUUCUGAAUUUUCUGUCAUGUUGUAUUGUUCUGUAAGCUUCACCUGAAUAGAUGAGGAAGGGCAGCUGGACGCUGGUCAUGCGAUACAGAAGGACAACUGAAAUCCACACUGAAUAGGUACACAUCUGUACAUCAGUAUGAUGUGUUGUAGCUUUCAUAUACAAAAAGCUUUAUGAAUUCAAGGUUCUGUUACAGUCUAGACUCUGUCACUUGAACGGAUGCUUGGAUGUAGAUUCAAAUGGUUAUUCUUUUUUCAGACUGUCUGAUAAAGUAUUAUCAUGGUAUCAGUAUAUGCCAUGUGUCCAGGCU